UGUUUCGCUUCAUCCUUGCAUUACGGUGGAGUGGGCGGAGCCUCGUGAAUGACGGUUAUUUUUUUCAAACGAGGAAGUGAAGUCAAGUCCGCCAUUUCAUCUUCUUCUUUAUAUCGGAAAAGAAAGGAAUCAUGCAAGGAUGCAAGCUGAAGGAAAGGACAACUCUCACAUCAGUGCAUUACUAAUUGUUUGACUUCAUCAUCAAGCACACCAGCUCAGAUUGUGAUGGACCUGGAAUGCGACACCAGUUACUCUUAAGUCAAGAACCAAAUGAAGCACCAGAGUACAGAUUAUGGAGGUAUCUGAAGUUGAACUAACUGGAAGCAGGGAACCAUACUAAUAAAGUUCCUUUAGCAGGUUCCUUGUAAAGAUGAACCCAGGGAAGGAUUGAAAGUGGAGAAGACCAGAUCAAGAAUGACCACAUUAAGAUCUGCGGUCAGUUCAAAGGAUGUUUUGCAUUGGACUGUUUUUUUGGCUUUGACCCUUGCUCGCCCCUGACCUCACUCUUGGACUGCCCUGUUGGAUUUUCAGUUUGUUUUAUUUAUUUUUAUUUUUUUAGGUUCUGGGUAGAUGCUAACAAAUAUUUAGUUGUAAUUAUUUAAAUAAUAUGUUUUGUGUUAAUAUGCGAUUUCUGUGUUUGUUCUGUCUACUCGUACUUGUUUAUCUUGUUUCUGUAAUUAUCAUUUGUUUAUUCGACCCUUGCCUCGCCUCUGAUCUUGUUUUUGGAUUGCCCUUUAUAUAUCUUUUUAAAUAUUGGUUCUGGUUAUA